rnacentral:rRNA from 1 species
GAUGAACGCUAGCUACAGGCUUAACACAUGCAAGUCGAGGGGAAACGGCAUCGAAAGCUUGCUUUUGAUGGGCGUCGACCGGCGCACGGGUGAGUAACGCGUAUCCAACCUGCCCAUCACUUGGGAAUAACCUUGCGAAAGUAAGACUAAUGCCCAAUGACAUCCCACGAAGGCAUCCGAAUGGGAUUAAAGAUUUAUCGGUGAUGGAUGGGGAUGCGUCUGAUUAGCUUGUUGGCGGGGUGACGGCCCACCAAGGCAACGAUCAGUAGGGGUUCUGAGAGGAAGGUACCCCACAUUGGAACUGAGACACGGUCCAAACUCCUACGGGAGGCAGCAGUGAGGAAUAUUGGUCAAUGGGCGAGAGCCUGAACCAGCCAAGUAGCGUGCAGGAUGACGGCCCUAUGGGUUGUAAACUGCUUUUAUAAGGGAAUAAAGUGGGUCACGUGUGACUUUUUGCAUGUACCUUAUGAAUAAGGACCGGCUAAUUCCGUG